GUAUUUGCAAAAUGUGGGGCCUCUUGCAAUGACUUCUGCAAAAGGUGGAACUACAUAGGAGGAACUUGUCAGCCAUCUAAAACCAACUGCCCAAAAGACCCCUUCAAGUUUCAAUGCCGCUGCGUCAAGAAACUCUUCAUAGGCUUAUAACAUGAGGAAGUUGCUACGUCCAAGACUACGUCUGUACUUCGUCUAGACCACGGCGCCAGGGGAGUUGGUUCAAACACUUAUCUCUACGUUUUCCAGGAACUCAGAAAAUCAGAAUUUUUUUCAAGGAAUACUUUAUGACGUAUGUACAUGUGUUUAGUCUGGACCACAGCGUCGAGGAAGUUGGUUAAGACACAUAGAUCUACAUUUUCCAGGAACUCAUAAAUUCAGAAUGUUUAAGUUUAAUUAAAGUGAGCAUCUCGUUUAUUAUUAUCAAGAUUUACAAAGUAAAGAUAAAGAUAACAUUAUGAACUUUGA